rnacentral:tRNA from 1 species
GGUCCCAUCGUCUAGUGGUCUAGGAUACUGGCCUCUCACGCCGGAGACACGGGUUCGAUCCCCGUUGGGACUACCA